rnacentral:rRNA from 1 species
CGUAUGUAACCUACCUUCAUCAGGGGGAUAGCCUCUCGAAAGAGAGAUUAACACCGCAUAAAAUCACAGUGCAGCAUUGCAUAAUGAUCAAAUAUUUAUAGGAUGAAGAUUGGCAUGCGGGACAUUAGCUAGUUGGCGGGGUAACGGCCCACCAAGGCGACGAUGUCUAGGGGAUCUGAGAGGAUGACCCCCCACACUGGUACUGAGACACGGACCAG